UAAGAGGUCCAGCCUGCCCAGUGAGAAAUUCAACGGCCGCGGUAACCUGACCGUGCAAAGGUAGCGUAAUCACUUGUUUUUUAAAUAGAGACUAGUAUGAAUGGCACCACGAGGAUAAAACUGUCUCCUUUCCACAAUCAGUGAAACUAAUCUCCUAGUGAAGAAGCAAGGAUAUUACUGUAAGACGAAAAGACCCUAUGGAGCUUAAAACAAAUAACUAAUGCUUCACCCCCCCCCACCCAGCACUGUAGUUACUAAUUUUUGGUUGGGGUGACCACGGAGAAAAAUUCAUCCUCCACGACGAAUUCUUUAAACAAGCCACAGCUUUAUCUAGCAAUAAAUUGGCGCACUGACCCAAUAACUUGAUCAGCGAACUAAGUUACCCUAGGGAUAACAGCGCAAUCCGCCUCGAGAGCUCUUAUUAACAGGCGGCUUUACGACCUCGAUGUUGGAUCAGGGUAUCCCAGUGGUGCAACCGCUACUAAAG
rnacentral:rRNA from 1 species